rnacentral:rRNA from 1 species
UACGUAGGGGGCAAGCGUUGUCCGGAAUCAUUGGGCGUAAAGCGCGUGUAGGCGGUCCGAUCAGUCGGCUGUGAAAGUCCAGGGCUCAACCCUGGGAUGCCGGUCGAUACUGUCGGGCUAGAGUCCGGAAGAGGCGAGUGGAAUUCCCGGUGUAGCGGUGAAAUGCGCAGAUAUCGGGAGGAACACCAAUGGCGAAGGCAGCUCGCUGGGACGGUACUGACGCUGAGACGCGAAAGCUAGGGGAGCGAACAGG